rnacentral:rRNA from 1 species
GUUUACAGCCAUACCACCCUGAGCUCACCCGAUCUCAGAAGCCAAGCAGGGUUGGACCUGGUUAGUACGUAAAUGGGGGACCACAUGGACGUGCCAGGUGCUGUAACUC